UCUACUCCUCCCUGUGAAACUGAUGGUUCUUCCAAGCAUUCCGCCCUUGGGUCUGCCCUCCUCACCACGGCUCCUCGUCCUUAAAGUUUGCAGCUCUGGAUAUUGCCAUGAUUCAAGUGGUAGCCCUGUCCAUGGCCUCCCAAGCGGCUGAUAGUGCAUUCAGAUGUCCCAGAGGUGCUCGACAUCUGGGUCCGUAUUUACACUUUCCUCCAUGGUGCCACGCGGCUAUAGCCCUCUUCCCUCCAUCCACCCUGCCAACGUGUGUGAGAGUCACAGCAGAAAGAUGUGGGAGUCCCAGACUUCAGAAACCUGGGGUCCAGACCUGUGACCUUCUAUUGGACAAGUUCUCUGGAGACACUGUUCUCCCAGGAGAGAUGGCUGAGGGAUUUCCUUAUCUGUCCAGUGGUUAAGACUCUGCACUUCAAUGUAGGGGGUGCAGGUUAGAUCCCUGGUUGGGAAACUAAGAUCCUAUUAAAAAAAAAAAAAAGAUGGCCGAAUGGAGAAAUGAUUUCAGGGAAUUCUCUAUCUUUCCAGCAUUAGUUAGAUUACCUGGUAGUGGUAAAGAGCUAUUUGUCACAGAUAAACAGAGACAGACAUUAAAGUGUUAAGGACACAUAAUAAUAUGCUAUCACAGUAUCAAUACCAUAAUAGAAAUCAACCCUGAAUGUUUAUUGGAAGGACUGAUGCUAAAGCUGAAACUUCAAUACUUUGGCCACCUGAUGCAAAGAGCUGACUCAUUGGAAAAGACCCUGAUACUGGGAAAGACUGAAGGCGGGAGGAGAAGGAGACGACAGAGGAUGAGGUGGCUGCAUGGCAUCGCUGACUCGGUGGACAUGAGUUUGAGCAAACUCUAAUUGACUAAACAACAAUUGCAGUAAGGACAAGGGCCUGGCAUGAACUCACUUCAACUUCCAUUUGUACGGGGGUGCAUUUUAAGAGGAGAAUGAGAGAGCAGGCAGGGGCAAUGGCAAGGUUUACACAGGGCAAUUCCUGCUAAAUCUACAGAAAGCCGGCAGGAGGAGGGCACUAGUCCACACGAAGCUUGUGCGGGUUGCUAACUGGCACUUAAGGAAAUUAGGCUCGUAGCCUCCCAGAGACUGGGCAACGGGCCAUAUCUUGAGGCACUGGCUGGAAUAAACAGUAACUUCUGGCAGCCUUGAGUUUUCUC
rnacentral:lncRNA from 1 species